AGCAACAAAUGCCCUGCUUCCAGGAAAAGCCUCUAAGCAUCAGGUAACAUCAAAUCGUACCCCAAACCGACACAGGUGGUCAGGUAGAGAAUACCAAGGCGCUUGAGAGAACUCGGGUGAAGGAACUAGGCAAAAUGGUGCCGUAACUUCGGGAGAAGGCACGCUGACACGUAGGUGAAGUGAUUUACUCAUGGAGCUGAAGUCAGUCGAAGAUACCAGCUGGCUGCAACUGUUUAUUAAAAACACAGCACUGUGCAAACACGAAAGUGGACGUAUACGGUGUGACGCCUGCCCGGUGCCGGAAGGUUAAUUGAUGGGGUCAGCGCAAGCGAAGCUCCUGAUCGAAGCCCCGGUAAACGGCGGCCGUAACUAUAACGGUCCUAAGGUAGCGAAAUUCCUUGUCGGGUAAGUUCCGACCUGCACGAAUGGCGUAAUGAUGGCCAGGCUGUCUCCACCCGAGACUCAGUGAAAUUGAACUCGCUGUGAAGAUGCAGUGUACCCGCGGCAAGACGGAAAGACCCCGUGAACCUUUACUAUAGCUUGACACUGAACAUUGAGCCUUGAUGUGUAGGAUAGGUGGGAGGCUUUGAAGUGUGGACGCCAGUCUGCAUGGAGCCGACCUUGAAAUACCACCCUUUAAUGUUUGAUGUUCUAACGUGGACCCGUGAUCCGGGUUGCGGACAGUGUCUGGUGGGUAGUUUGACUGGGGCGGUCUCCUCCUAAAGAGUAACGGAGGAGCACGAAGGUUGGCUAAUCCUGGUCGGACAUCAGGAGGUUAGUGCAAUGGCAUAAGCCAGCUUGACUGCGAGCGUGACGGCGCGAGCAGGUGCGAAAGCAGGUCAUAGUGAUCCGGUGGUUCUGAAUGGAAGGGCCAUCGCUCAACGGAUAAAAGGUACUCCGGGGAUAACAGGCUGAUACCGCCCAAGAGUUCAUAUCGACGGCGGUGUUUGGCACCUCGAUGUCGGCUCAUCACAUCCUGGGGCUGAAGUAGGUCCCAAGGGUAUGGCUGUUCGCCAUUUAAAGUGGUACGCGAGCUGGGUUUAGAACGUCGUGAGACAGUUCGGUCCCUAUCUGCCGUGGGCGCUGGAGAACUGAGGGGGGCUGCUCCUAGUACGAGAGGACCGGAGUGGACGCAUCACUGGUGUUCGGGUUGUCAUGCCAAUGGCACUGCCCGGUAGCUAAAUGCGGAAGAGAUAAGUGCUGAAAGCAUCUAAGCACGAAACUUGCCCCGAGAUGAGUUCUCCCUGAGACUUUAGGUCUCCUGAAGGAACGUUGAAGACGACGACGUUGAUAGGCCGGGUGUGUAAGCGCAGCGAUGCGUUGAGCUAACCGGUACUAAUGAACCGUGAGGCUUAACCUUACAACGCCGAAG
rnacentral:rRNA from 4 species